UACGGAGGAUGCGAGCGUUACCCGGAUUUAUUGGGUUUAAAGGGUGCGCAGGCGGCACGGCAAGCCGGCGGUCAAAUCGCGGGGCUCAACCCCGCCCAGCCGUCGGAACUGCCGGGCUAGAGUGGGCGAGAAGUGCGCGGAAUGCGUGGUGUAGCGGUGAAAUGCAUAGAUAUCACGCAGAACUCCGAUUGCGAAGGCAGCGCACCGGCGCCCCACUGACGCUCAGGCACGAAAGCGUGGGUAUCGAACAGG
rnacentral:rRNA from 1 species